rnacentral:rRNA from 1 species
GACGAACGCUGGCGGCGUGCUUAACACAUGCAAGUCGAACGGAAAGGCCCUGCUUUUGUGGGGUGCUCGAGUGGCGAACGGGUGAGUAACACGUGAGUAACCUGCCCUUGACUUUGGGAUAACUUCAGGAAACUGGGGCUAAUACCGGAUAGGAGCUCCUGCUGCAUGGUGGGGGUUGGAAAGUUUCGGCGGUUGGGGAUGGACUCGCGGCUUAUCAGCUUGUUGGUGGGGUAGUGGCUUACCAAGGCUUUGACGGGUAGCCGGCCUGUGAGGGUGACCGGCCACAUUGGGACUGAGAUACGGCCCAGAAUCCUACGGGAGGCAGCAGUGGGGAAUAUUGCACAAUGGGCGGAAGCCUGAUGCAGCAACGCCGCGUGCGGGAUGACGGCCUUCGGGUUGUAAACCGCUUUCGCCUGUGACGAAGCGUGAGUGACGGUAAUGGGUAAAGAAGCACCGGCUAACUACGUG